CUUCUCUACGCUAGCCACAAUCACUAUGGCUGUUCCCUUGAAUCCACAAAUGAAAAUUGAUCAGGCAAACUACACAUGACGAUCUUGCAUCAAUUGAAGGUGCCCUGGGCCCUGGCAUUGCUCAAAAGACGUCUGAAAAACCGACGUUUAUCGAUAAAAUUAUACUGUUCAUUACAAAUAUUAAAUUACCACUUGUCGGCUUUCAUGAGAGUGCUGCAAGAAUGAGAAAGCGAGGUAGGCACAACCUGGACUCGGCCAUUUUGGAUGUUUCGCAACGCGAGGACGCCUAGAUCUCUAAUCGCACCUUCGCUCAUCGUCUCGCUGCUUCCGAGCAUUUGAAGUUCUUACUUGCUUUGACAGAUACUGAAAUUCUGAUAGCUUCUGUGAUGUUAAAUAAGAAUACAGGAGGGAGGACUAAGCUUGUUACCUCCGGAUUUACAAAAUGAAACCGACAGAUCACAGUACCGGUUGCAGGUGAAAGAUGAUCUCUCACUUAUUGAGCUGUGUAUUAAACAGUACAGAGUUCAUCCCGAGCAUAAAUUUUUGUCGUUAACCAUAAUUAGAUAUGCUUCGGGGCUCUACAGUUUAAACAAAUCGGAUAUUUUGUGGGUUGAUAGACAGAUGCAUGUUCUGACAGCCUUCAAGCUCUAUACAGACUCAGGGAUUACCCAUAAAUGAUCCUCAGCCACCACUCAUUCGCUGGGAAAUUCAAGCAAGAUAACGGAGUUCUUGACAGGAUAGAUCGGGACUUACUGAGCAGAGAAAACGGAGGGUAAAAAAGGUAGCUUGAAUGAGAAGAAUGGAGAGGUCUGGCCUGGGUUUAAGGGAGGACUUCUUUGAGAGGUCAGAGACGAUACCACGAAAGAGAAAGUCCCAGUGGAAGGAGUGACAGGAAUUACAGAGAUUAUAUCAAUGACAUAAUAAUAGAAAUCAUAUUGAUGGCAAAGAUUAUACGAAUUAUAUUGAGGACAGAAGUCCAGAUAGCAUAUAUGAGAGAUAUGGAACUCUUAGGAGACGUUCACCUGCUCACUUUGAGAUAGUCGAUAACAGGAAAUAAAAUGAUAGAUAUGGAAGAGCUUUAGGACUUCUAGAUCAGACACCAGUAUGUCCCAUAACCUCAAAGGAUAAGGGAGAAGGCAGACAAUAUGACACCGGAAACACAAAGCAUAACAGAGAAGGCAAACCUUCCAGUGUUACGCCCUCUUAAAGAUAUUAUGGGUGAGAGCCUUCCAACUCUAAUAGUCAGUGAUCCCUCUAAGGCUAAGGAUUCUAAUGUCGCUGCUAAUGAUCAGGUGAGGACCAUCAAUGCCAAUGAUACUUUAUUUUCAUUAUAAGAAAAACAGAUAUAGUAUUGUUCUUGAGAAAGGGAGAAGUUUGGCCAGGAACAGGUGCCAGGAGGCUCAGAAGUUUGCUGAGGAAAACGUUGUAUGCUGAUGAUUUCGAAAUGAAGCAAUGUAAAUUAUCAUUUUGCUCUUCUUUGUGGUUACAUUUUGUACCUAUCAAAUUCGUUGGUGUUUGUAAAACCUUUUUGUAAAUAUAAAUUGACAUUAUUACAAAUGAGAAACCGGAUUGAAAUUGAUGUGCGCAUAUUCAAUAAUUCUAGAAAUAUCAAAGGUUUGUCAUACUAAUUUCAUGGAUAUAUUAUUUGAGUGCCCUUAUGGUUAGUUUUCAUUAUUUGAAAUUUAUAACAUUAAAUAGAGUAUAUCUUAAAUAUAUAUAACAGAAAUUUUUCAAUCGCGCGGAGCGCGUUUUCCUCCCUAGUUAUAUUAUAAU